UCAGUCGACUCCUACGGGGAGGCAGCAGUGGGGAAUAUUGCACAAUGGGGGAAACCCUGAUGCAGCCAUGCCGCGUGUGUGAAGAAGGCCUUCGGGUUGUAAAGCACUUUCAGUAGGGAGGAAGGUAGUGUAGUUAACACCUGCACUAUUUGACGUUACCUACAGAAGAAAGCACCGGCUAACUCCGUGCCAGCAGCCGCGGUAAUACGGAGGGUGCGAGCGUUAAUCGGAAUUACUGGGCGUAAAGCGCAUGCAGGCGGCCUGUUAAGUCAGAUGUGAAAGCCCGGGGCUUAACCUCGGAAUUGCAUUUGAAACUGGUAGGCUAGAGUCUUGUAGAGGGGGGUAGGAAUUUCAGGUGUAGCGGUGAAAUGCGUAGAGAUCUGAAGGAAUACCAGUGGCGAAGGCGGCCCCCUGGACAAAGACUGACGCUCAGAUGCGAAAGCGUGGGGAGCAAACAGGAUUAGAUACCCCUGGUAG
rnacentral:rRNA from 1 species